UAGGGAAUCUUCGGCAAUGGGGGGAACCCUGACCGAGCAACGCUGCGUGAGUGAAGAAGGUUUUCGGAUCGUAAAGCUCUGUUGUUAAGGAAGAACGAGUGUGAGAAUGGAAAGUUCAUACUGUGACGGUACUUAACCAGAAAGGGACGGCUAACUACGUGCCAGCAGCCGCGGUAAUACGUAGGUCCCGAGCGUUGUCCGGAUUUAUUGGGCGUAAAGAGAGCGCAGGCGGUUAGAUAAGUCUGAAGUUAAAGGCAGUGGCUCAACCAUUGUAGGCUUUGGAAACUGUUUAACUUGAGUGCAGAAGGGGAGAGUGGAAUUCCAUGUGUAGCGGUGAAAUGCGUAGAUAUAUGGAGGAACACCGGUGGCGAAAGCGGCUCUCUGGUCUGUAACUGACGCUGAGGCUCGAAAGCGUGGGGAGCGAACAGG
rnacentral:rRNA from 1 species